UACGUAGGGUGCGAGCGUUGUCCGGAAUUAUUGGGCGUAAAGAGCUUGUAGGCGGUUUGUCGCGUCUGCCGUGAAAGCCCAGGGCUUAACCCUGGGACUGCGGUGGGUACGGGCAGGCUAGAGUGUGGUAGGGGAGACUGGAAUUCCUGGUGUAGCGGUGAAAUGCGCAGAUAUCAGGAGGAACACCGAUGGCGAAGGCAGGUCUCUGGGCCACUACUGACGCUGAGACGCGAAAGCAUGGGGAGCAAACAGG
rnacentral:rRNA from 1 species